GACGUAGGGCGCGAGCGUUAUCCGGAUUUAUUGGGCGUAAAGAGCCCGUAGGCGGCUUGUCGCGUCGACCGUAAAACCUCACAGCUCAACUGUGAGCCUGCGGUCGAUACGGGCAGGCUAGAGUUCGGUAGGGGAGACUGGAAUUCCUGGUGUAGCGGUGAAAUGCGCAGAGAUCGGAAAGAACACCAACGGCGAAAGCACUCUGCUGGGCCGACACUGACACUGAGAGACGAAAGCUAGGGGAGCGAAUGGG
rnacentral:rRNA from 1 species